rnacentral:rRNA from 1 species
UCAGUCUUUUUGGGGUUAUAUGAUCAAGCGACCAAGCGCGCAUGGUGGAUGCCUAGGUGGUAAGAGGCGAUGAAGGACGUUGUAGCCUGCGAUAAGCCUCGGGGAGCCGGCAAACAGGCUUUGAUCCGAGGAUUUCCGAAUGGGGAAACCCAGCCCUUCGGGGUUAUCACACACUGAAUACAUAGGUGUGUGAGGCGAACCUGGUGAACUGAAAUAUCUAAGUAACCAGAGGAAAAGAAAUCAACCGAGAUUCCCUGAGUAGCGACGAGCGAACGGGGAACAGCCCUUAAGUCGUGGUGUGGUUAGUGGAACGGUCUGGAAAGUCCGGUCAUAGAGGGUGACAACCCCGUACACGAAAACCUAUCCACGAUGAAAUCGAGUAGGGCGGGACACGUGAAAUCCUGUCUGAACAUGGGGGGACCAUCCUCCAAGGCUAAAUACUCCUUACCGACCGAUAGUGAACCAGUACCGUGAGGGAAAGGCGAAAAGAACCCCUGUUAGGGGAGUGAAAUAGAACCUGAAACCGUGUGCGUACAAGCAGUGGGAGCCUGGCUUCGGCCGGGUGACUGCGUACCUUUUGUAUAAUGGGUCAGCGACUUACAUCUCAGUGGCAAGCUUAACCGUAUAGGGGAGGCGUAGCGAAAGCGAGUCUUAAUAGGGCGUCUUAGUCGCUGGGAGUAGACCCGAAACCGGACGAUCUAGCCAUGGCCAGGUUGAAGGUCGGGUAAUACCGACUGGAGGACCGAACCAACUGACGUUGAAAAGUCAGUGGAUGAGCUGUGGCUAGGAGUGAAAGGCUAAACAAGUCCGGAGAUAGCUGGUUCUCCUCGAAAGCUAUUUAGGUAGUGCCUCGUGUCUCACUUCUGGGGGUAGAGCACUGUUAUGGCUAGGGCUGCGUCUAGUAGUACCAAACCAUUGCAAACUCCGAAUACCAGAAAGUGCAAUCACGGGAGUCAGACGGCGGGAGAUAAGUUUCGUCGUCGAAAGGGAAACAGCCCAGACCGCCAGCUAAGGUCCCCAAAUCACAGCUCAGUGGGAAACGAUGUGGGAAGGCCCAGACAGCCAGGAGGUUGGCUUAGAAGCAGCCAUCCUUUAAAGAAAGCGUAAUAGCUCACUGGUCAAGUCGGCCUGCGCGGAAGAUAUACCGGGGCUAAGCUGUGUACCGAAGCUGCGGAUGCAAGCUUGCUUGCAUGGUAGAGGAGCGUUCUGUAGGCCUGCGAAGGUGUGCUGUGAGGCAUGCUGGAGGUAUCAGAAGUGCGAAUGCUGACGUGAGUAACGAUAAAGGGGGUGAAAGACCCCCUCGCCGGAAGUCCAAGGUUUCCUGCGCAACGUUAAUCGGCGCAGGGUUAGUCGGCCCCUAAGGCGAGGCUGAAAAGCGUAGUCGAUGGGCAACAGGUUAAUAUUCCUGUACCGCGUGUAAUUGCGAUGGGGGGACGGAGAAGGCUAGACCAGCCGGGCGACGGUUGUCCCGGUUUAAGCAGGUAGGGAGUGUUCUUAGGUAAAUCCGGGAGCGCAAUCCUGAGCUGUGAUGACGAGGUUUCUUUUGAAACUGAAGUGGUUGAUGCCAUGCUUCCAGGAAAAUCCUCUAAGCUUCAGAUUACAUGUGACCGUACCCCAAACCGACACAGGUGGACAGGGCGAGAAGCCCAAGGCGCUUGAGAGAACUCGGGUGAAGGAACUCGGCAAAAUGACACCGUAACUUCGGGAGAAGGUGUACCCCCAUUAAGUGAUGGUCUUCGCGACCGGAGCGGAAGGGGGUUGCAACAAAGAGGUGGCUGCGACUGUUUAUUAAAAACAUAGCACUCUGCAAACUCGUAAGAGGACGUAUAGGGUGUGACGCCUGCCCGGUGCCGGAAGGUUAAUUGAUGGGGUUAGUCUUCGGACGAAGCUCUUGAUCGAAGCCCCGGUGAACGGCGGCCGUAACUAUAACGGUCCUAAGGUAGCGAAAUUCCUUGUCGGGUAAGUUCCGACCUGCACGAAUGGCGUAACGAUGGCCACACUGUCUCCACCCGGGACUCAGUGAAAUCGAAAUUGCUGUGAAGAUGCAGUGUACCCACACCAAGACGGAAAGACCCCGUGCACCUUUACUACAACUUCACACUGGACUUUGAAUAUGGCUGUGUAGGAUAGGUGGGAGGCUUUGAAGCUGGGACGCUAGUUCUGGUGGAGCCAACCUUGAAAUACCACCCUGUUAUGUCUGGGGCCCUAACCGAGAUCCGUUAUCCGGACCCGGAACAGUGUGUGGUGGGUAGUUUGACUGGGGCGGUCUCCUCCCAAAGAGUAACGGAGGAGCACGAAGGUGUCCUAAGCGCGGUCGGAAAUCGCGCGGUUCGUG